rnacentral:rRNA from 1 species
GACGAACCGUGCGAACGUUGUUCGGAAUCACUGGGCUUAAAGGGCGCGUAGGCGGCUCGCCAAGUCCGGGGUGAAAGCCUCCAGCUCAACUGGAGAAGUGCCUUGGAUACUGGCGGUCUUGAGCAACCUAGGGGCGAGCGGAACAAAUGGUGGAGCGGUGAAAUGCGUAGAUAUCAUUUGGAACGCCAAUGGUGAAAACAGCUCGCUGGGGGUUUGCUGACGCUGAGACACGAAAGCCAGGGGAGCAAACGGG